UCCCUAGUGGCUCAGAAGGUAAAGAACAUGCCUACAAUGCAGAAGACCCAGGUUCAAUCCCUGGGUAGGGAA
rnacentral:tRNA from 1 species